rnacentral:rRNA from 1 species
AGUGAACGCUGGCGGCAGGCCUAACACAUGCAAGUCGAACGGCAGCACAAGAGAGCUUGCUCUCUGGGUGGCGAGUGGCGGACGGGUGAGGAAUGCAUCGGAAUCUGCCCAUUUGUGGGGGAUAACCUCGGGAAACCGGGACUAAUACCGCAUACGACCUACGGGUGAAAGCAGGGGAUCUUCGGACCUUUCGCAGAUGGAUGAGCCGAUGCCGGAUUAGCUAGUUGGAGGGGGAAAGGCCCACCAAGGCGACGAUCCGUAACUGGUCUGAGAGGAUGAUCAGGCAAAAUUGGAAUGAGGAACGGCCCAGACUCCUAAGGGAGGCAGGAGGUGGGAAUAUUGGACAAUGGGCGGAAGCCUGAUCCAGGCAUGCCGCGUGUGUGAAGAAGGGCUUCGGGGUGGAAAGGACUUUUUGUUGGGAAGAAAAGCAGCCGGUUAAUACCCGGUUGUCAUGACGGUACCCAAAGAAUAAGCACCGGCUAACUUCGUG